GAUGAAGAACGUAGCGAAAUGCGAUAAGUAGUGUGAAUUGCAGAAUUCAGUGAAUCAUCGAAUCUUUGAACGCACAUUGCGCCCCUUGGUAUUCCAUGGGGCAUGCCUGUUCGAGCGUCAUUUGUACCUUCAAGCUCUGCUUGGUGUUGGGUGUUUGUCUCGCCUCUGCGUGUAGACUCGCCUCAAAACAAUUGGCAGCCGGUGUAUUGAUUUCGGAGCGCAGUACAUCUCGCGCUUUGCACUCAUAACGACGACGUCCAAAAGUACAUUUUUACACUCUUGACCUCGGAUCAGGUAGGGAUACCCGCUGAACUUAAGCAUAUCAAUAAGCGGAGGA
rnacentral:misc_RNA from 1 species